GAAGGUGGCUGCUAGGCGGCUCCGCUGCUCUAAUCCUGAGCUGCGCCAGCUGCAGCGUCAGCCCCACCCCUUGGGCCCCUUUUUUCGUCGCGCCGUGCCCCGCCUCACGCGGCCAAUCCGCUCCCGAGUUGCACUCCUGAUGGGCAGCUCCAAUGACCAAUAGACUCUCGCACUUCAAUUUCAAGUCCCGCCCCAAUCCCCACCCUCCGCCCUGAGUCUUUUCCCUUCCCCCGAGCGGAGGAAGGGGAAGGCGGUGGUCGUCGUUCGAGUGGCCUCCUCAGGGUCAGAGUUGAGAAGGGGUGGUGGCUGCUCCUGCCUCCUCCGGAUCCUAGGGCCUGGACCAGCUUGUUCUGAUGCACUGGGUCGCGGUAGCAGAUAAACCAUGGGAACAGCUCUCCUUCCCUCUGCCUUUGAAUUUGUGUGGGGGGCCAGUGUGAGCAGUGAGUGCCCUCACCGGAUGCCCAGGUCCCAGAUGGGUCGCGUUGCACUGGCUCCUCCAAUGUGACUGUCAGGGAAAAUGAGGUCACUUCUGACCCAGAGACUCUGUCAUCUUACCCUCUCCUGGGGGUCUUCAUCUAAAGAACUGCCACUGGGAUCAUACAGUGUGCUCUCAUCUGGAACUUCCCACAUCUCCACGUGCCCUCACCUUCAGUGAGAGUCUGAGAAGAAGCCGGGUGGGGUUGCUGCCCACAUGGUCGGGGCUGCUGCCAAUGCCACUCAUCUCACCGUCACUUGCUGCCUCUCUGCCUGCCCCCUGGUCCAUGGUUCUCUGACAUCUCUCUCUCCUUGAGGACUGUCCACUGAGAGGUCUGGAAACAAUGACACUCCAGGAACAAUGACACUCCAGAAACAAUGACACUCCAGGAACAAUGACACUCCAGAAACAAUGACACUCCAGGAACAAUGAGCACAUCUAGCACCCAGAUCUUGGCUUCUACACAUCAUUCUCUAUUAAAAGAAAGAAGCAUCCCUUGGAGCAAUGGCUGAUUCCAGAGCUGUGGCAGAGAAAUUACAAGAUAAGCCUGGAACAUCUUGCUGUGACAGAAAGUAAGCAAGUGCUCAAAGAAUUAUGGCAAUAGAAACCAGCUUGGCAACUGGACAAAAUCUGGGAAAUUGAGCAUCAAAAUAAAUAAUGAGGUAAUGAGGAAAACACUCAACAUCUGUAAUAUUGCUGUCAAAGUUGCAUAACCUACAUCUAAUCAUGAGGAAACAACACAUAAGCCAAAAUUAAGGGCCAUUCUACAAUAGCACUGUACUAUGCUUCUAAAUUGUCCUGGUCAUGAAAGCAAAGGAAAGGCUUAGGAAUCAUCUCAGACAGAAGGAGACUGGAAAGACGUGGCAACUAAAUGCAAUGAAUAAUCCUAGACUGGAUCCUUUGGUUAUAAAGGACAGCAUUGGGCCAAUUGAUGAAAGUCCAGUAAGGUCUGGGGGUUAUAUUGAACUAAUGUAUCAAUGUUCAUUUCCUGAUUGUGAGCAUUGUGUUAGAUUAUGAAGGAGGAUGUCCUCAUUUGUAGGAAAUAUAUAUUAAAAUAUUAGGGAGUCACCGGGCUCGGUGGCUCACGCUUGUAAUCCCAGCACUUUGGGAGGCCGAAGUGGGUGGAUCACGAGGUCAGGAGAUCGAGACCAUCCUGGCUAACACGGUGAAACCCCGUCUCUACUAAAAACAUUAAAAAAAAUUAGCUGGGCGUGGUGGCGGGUGCCUGUAGUCCCGGCUACUCAGGAGGUUGAGGCAGGAGAAUGGCGUGAACCCGGGAGGUGGAGCUUGCAGUGAGCCGAGAUCGCACCACUGCACUCUAGCCUGGGAGACAGAGAGAGACUCCGUCUCAAAUAAAAUAAAAUAAAAUAAAAAUAAUAAAAUAAAAUAAAAUAAUAUAAAAUAAAAUAAAAUAUUAGGGAGUAAUGAGGCAUCAUGGAGGCAACUUACUCAUAAGUGGUUCAGGAAAGGGGGAAAUUCUUUGUAUAUCAUUGUAACUUUUCUAUACCGUUGAAAUUAUUUCAAAAGAAAAAGACAAGGAAGGAGUGAAUGAAAUCCCUGAGGCAGUGGAGAAUGAGAGGAGGUUGAGGCAGUGCAAUAUCAACCACUGACACCAAAGGGUUCCAUAUGUGUAAGGAGAGGGCAGCUAAUAAUGUGUAAUAUUGCAAAAAGACAGAAGAGAAUUUUUAAAAAGGUAUUAAACUAUUUACAAAUUUUCUACAUUAUUAAUCAUGGCAGCAUCUUCAUACAUGUGCAAUGCAAUGGAAAAUAAACCCAUUAUUCAUUCACAGACAAUACUGAAUGUGCAUAUGGAUUUGGCUUCCGCAUGGAAGCAAUUAACAACUUCUUGACUUCCCUGGGCCCUGGGAUUCAGAGAUUGGAAACCUGUUCUCACUACAAACCAUUACAGUUUUAAAAAGAAAAUCACAAUGACAUAAUUAUAUUAGCUCUUGUCAGGAGGCCAGGUCCCCCAAUUCCUA
rnacentral:lncRNA from 10 species